AAUUUGGGUGUUGAAUUAAAAAGUUUGGUUGCAUAACUUUAUUUACAUGUAACUUAAGUUUUUAGAGUUAAACUCUGCUGAAAUUUCAGUAGAAUUUGGAAUUAAAACUAAAUAAUUGAAAAGAUUUAAAAAUUAAAUAAUUGAGUUAACUAAAUCAAUUACUAAAUUAGUAAGUCAAAUAAAUACAACAGAAUUAAUAAAAGUUUAAUCUGAA
rnacentral:misc_RNA from 1 species